rnacentral:rRNA from 1 species
UACGGGGGGGAGCAAGCGUUGUUCGGAUUUACUGGGCGUAAAGGGCGCGUAGGCGGUCAGCACAAGUCAGUUGUGAAAUCUCCGGGCUUAACUCGGAAAGGUCAACUGAUACUGUGCGACUAGAGUGCAGAAGGGGCAACUGGAAUUCUCGGUGUAGCGGUGAAAUGCGUAGAUAUCGAGAGGAACACCUGUGGCGAAGGCGACUCGCUGGACAGACAUUGACGCUGAGGUGCGAAAAGCGUGGGGAGCAAACAGG